rnacentral:rRNA from 1 species
UACAGAGGGGGCGAGCGUUGUUCGGAAUUAUUGGGCGUAAAGGGCUCGUAGGCGGUUUGUCGCGUCGGGAGUGAAAACUCAGGGCUUAACCCUGAGCCUGCUUCCGAUACGGGCAGACUAGAGGUAUGCAGGGGAGAACGGAAUUCCUGGUGUAGCGGUGAAAUGCGCAGAUAUCAGGAGGAACACCGGUGGCGAAGGCAGGUCUCUGGGCCACUACUGACGCUGAGAAGCGAAAGCAUGGGGAGCGAACAGG